CGGACCGGCGCGACGGGUGAGUAACGCGUAUGCAACUUACCUAUCAGGAGGGGGAUAACCCGGCGAAAGUCGGACUAAUACCGCAUGAAGCAGGGGCCCCGCAUGGGGAUAUUUGCUAAAGAUUCAUCGCUGAUAGAUAGGCAUGCGUUCCAUUAGGCAGUUGGCGGGGUAACGGCCCACCAAACCGACGAUGGAUAGGGGUUCUGAGAGGAAGGUCCCCCACAUUGGUACUGAGACACGGACCAAACUCCUACGGAAGGCAGCAG
rnacentral:rRNA from 1 species